rnacentral:rRNA from 1 species
UACGAAGGGGGCUAGCGUUGCUCGGAAUCACUGGGCGUAAAGCGCACGUAGGCGGAUCUUUAAGUCAGGGGUGAAAUCCCAAGGCUCAACCUUGGAACUGCCUUUGAUACUGGGGAUCUCGAGUCCGGAAGAGGUGAGUGGAACUGCGAGUGUAGAGGUGAAAUUCGUAGAUAUCAGGAAGAACACCCGUGGCUAAGGCGGCUCUCUAGUACGGUACUGACGCUGAGACGCGAAAGCGUGGGGAGCGAACAGG